rnacentral:tRNA from 1 species
GGUAUUGUAGCGUAGAGGUUAGCAUGUCCGCCUAUGACGCUGAACGCCUGGGUUCAAAUCCUGCCGAAACCA